GCUGGAGUCGCCUAACCAGGUAUGGCACGAGGUUGCUAACCUCGCGCAGCUUGCUGCUUGCGAGUUCAAAUCUCGCCUCCAGCG
rnacentral:tRNA from 1 species